rnacentral:pre_miRNA from 1 species
CUUAUACUCCCCCCGUCCCAAAAUUCUUGUCUUAGAUUUGUCUAGAUAUAAAUGUAUCUAGUCACAUUUUAGUAUUUAGAUACAUCUAUUUUUAGACAAAUCUAAGACAAGAAUUUUGGGACGGAGGGAGUAAUUU